UGCCAGACUCCUACGGGAGGCAGCAGUGAGGAAUAUUGGUCAAUGGACGAGAGUCUGAACCAGCCAAGUAGCGUGAAGGAUGACUGCCCUAUGGGUUGUAAACUUCUUUUAUAUGGGAAUAAAAUGUUCCACGUGUGGGAUUUUGUAUGUACCAUAUGAAUAAGGAUCGGCUAACUCCGUGCCAGCAGCCGCGGUAAUACGGAGGAUCCGAGCGUUAUCCGGAUUUAUUGGGUUUAAAGGGUGCGUAGGCGGAGUGUCAAGUCAGCGGUAAAAUUUCGGGGCUCAACCCCGUCGUGCCGUUGAAACUGACGCCCUUGAGUGAGUGAGAAGUAAGCGGAAUGCGUGGUGUAGCGGUGAAAUGCAUAGAUAUCACGCAGAACGCCGAUUGCGAAGGCAGCUUACCGGCGCUCAACUGACGCUGAGGCACGAAAGUGCGGGUAUCGAACAGGAUUAGAUACCCUCGUAUAA
rnacentral:rRNA from 1 species